UUAUAAUAUUUGUAACAUGUAUUUCACCCCCGAGAGUUAUAAAACCAAAAACAGUUAAAGAAAAGGGGGAGCAUGAACUCACAACUUUGCGUUCCUGCGUCACUUGUAUCGCACAAGUGCAAGUCACUAUCUUUUGUAUUUGUGUUCUUGUGUUAAAAAUAUUUAUAUUUUUAACUAUUUGUCUUAUAUCAUUUUCUCAAAAAUAAAUAUACGUAUCUUGUAUUUUGCACCCGAAUUAUGUAUUUUGUCCAAGUAAUAUAUUUUCAUAAAUAUAUCCUCUUGUAUGUGUCUAAGCAUGUUGUAUGUGUAUUUUCAUGUUUAUACUCCUCAUGAGUAUUUAGUGUAUCUUUACGUCUCAAUACGCUAGCACGUAUAACACAUACUAU
rnacentral:lncRNA from 1 species